rnacentral:sRNA from 1 species
UAUUCUGCCCCAUGGGGAAGGAUGAGAAGCUUCGACUAAGGUUCGACUCGAGCGCAAGCGAGAGAACGUUGCCGCAGGCAACGGCCCGAAGGGCGAGGCGCUUUAGCGCCGAGUAAUCCUUCCCCCACCACCA